UAAUACACACACUCAUAGUCCGGAACAAAUACGUUUUGCAUUUUAAAAAAAAUGUAUGCACAGUUUAGAGGCCUAGAAGAAGAAUGUUAACAUUUGUGAGUGUUAACAAAAAGAAUGUUAAGAUUUGCCUAUCUAUACCCGUAUUUAUAGGAAACAAGAUUCUGGUAUAAUUCAUAGGACAGGAGAUCCAAAGAAAAGUCAACAGUCACAACAAAUAGAGAGAUAUGGUAGAAGUGAGUCAGUUUGCCACCAUGCCAUGCCUAGUAUGGAACUCCUUAAAUGGUAGACCCUUUUAUGCUGGUGAAACUUAGAAUUUAUAAACUACAGAUAAAAAUUGAUGUUGGUGUUUGGAUAUAAAAUUCGUUUUUAGGAUUUAGUUGAGCGAGGAAAUGGUUUGGUUACUCACCAAAUUGAAAUACUGCACCUCCAACUCUUUAUGCCCUAUUUCCCUAAAAACAAAAAGAGAAGUCUCAUGAAAUCAUAAUUAUUUGUAUAGGACUCCAAUUCUGGCUACUCUGCAUGCAGACAGGUAAAUACAACAGGGCUACAAGGCACUGAGGAGAAAAAACCAUGAAGUCAGAUGUUUCAUGGAAUUUCAUCAUUAUGAAGGGGCUCUCAGAAGCCAAGUGACUGUAACUUAUUCAAAUGAAGUUUCAUUUUUAUUGUUUGUAUUUCUUAUGAAAUGGAAGGGAGCCAGUAUGAGCUAGAUUGACUUUCUCUUGACGAGAUGCAAAUAUAUUUCACAAAAGAAUGCCAAUCAAUAGGAAAAUUUGCCCUCUACCAAUAGGGGUUUCUAUAAUUUGUUCUGGCGACUAACUUGCCCUGGUCUAAUGUGUUUAGCAAACACACACAAAGUAAUGUUAUUUAAAGCAAUUAUAUAUGUAGGUGAUAGCCCAGUGAUAUCCAGAGAUGCAAAUAUUAACAAUAAGCAUUUGAGAACUUUAACUUUUUUUUUUUUUGGUCAGUUUUGUGUAUAAAGGAGACACAGAGAACUGACUCCCUAUGGAAGGAGAAAAGAAAGGAAAGUUUAAAAGCCUGAUUGUGGGCUGUAAUUUGUUAAUUGGAGUGAAUGUCAAUCUGCUUUGGCACCACAUCCAUUCCUGGGCCCACAUGGUGGUGAUACCUCUUUGGCAAGGGGAGUGCAAAACCAUGGAGAGAAUUCAGAUUCACACUCAGAACUGAAGUUCAUAACAGGAAGAAGAAAACUAAAUCCAUGGGAGCAGAUAGCCUGGGUUUGAGCCCUAGCAAAAGACCGCUGGUGGACAGAAAGAGAGAAAUAGAUUUCCUAAAAGUAACUGACUAAAUAUAACAUGUUUACUAAAAAGCUUGUUACAGACAGCUAAAAUGCAAAUACAAAUGAACUUUGAUGGGCUAGUUGGCAAGCCUCCUCAACCCUUUAAGCAAAUUCCUGAGUGAUAAAGUUGGUUCUGAAACAUACCUGGGAGCUAGCACUUAUGAACUUCCUAGGGGCUGUUAUCUUUUAGCAUUUAAGAAGUAGCUAGAUUGUGAAUGUUUUUCAGACUGCUUUUAUUCUUUCUUUCCAUUUAUCUACCUACCUACCUACUAUCUAUAUUUGCCUUAGCAGACCAAUUCAUUAUCCUUAAUGAUGACUAAGACAUCAGCAUCUGUUUACAGACUUGGUGAACUGAGGUACCAGCACAGUAAGGAACUUGCCUUGAGAUGAAGGAAUAUAUAGUCGAACAACAGCUAGAAUUCAGGUUUCCCAAACUGCAGUUCUUUCUUUAGCCCACUGGUGGGCUGCCUCCUAUUUCUAUUUCUUUCACAGGUUCUCUUUUACAUACAUGUACAUGUCUGCACAGGAGAUGUCUGUGAGACCAUGGGUUCUCUUCGCGCAGCUGGGACCUGAGACAGAUCACUGGAACACUCUGGGUUUAAACUGAGUGAGGAAAACACAGCAUCUGAAGACACAGACUGCCAAGUUGAGAACUUUGUCUCCUCCAAGCCCAGGUAGCUUGAUUUUUCCCUGUGGCCAGGACUCCUGCUGACACUUCCAGCCGUCCUCAGAAAAGCCAUUGAGCUACCCUUGGGUUGAAUGAAUGAGAACUUUCUGGAGAGCGGAAGACUGGUGGAGGUCCAGCUGGAAAAACAUAUGGCCGCAGAGGCAGAAAGAGCGCUUCUUCAGGAUUGUGAGUUGUAUAAAAAAUGUCUGCAGGCGCAAGGCAGCCGUUACAACCUAAGAUCUUACUAAGCGUGAUGGAUGUUCUUACUUCUAGGACUGCCUCCAAUGUACCUGGACCGAAGCCAGCGCUGCAUCCUCAGGCGCCCCUAGGGAUCGUGUGUGCAGGGCGGCACCACCCCACAGCCCCCUCUGAGGUCAGGAUUCCACGCCCGCCCCCUGCCUCCCUCCCACUCUCCACUCCCCUAUCCUCGGUGGAGCCCAGUAGAUGGCAGCCCAUUGUGCCUUCUGAAAGAAAACAAAGUUUGCAAAUCACUGUAGACUGUCUUAUAAUAGGUAGGUCAGGAGGGAAAAUGACUAUGGUAAAUUCUCGUCUUAACCACACAUGACCUCAGCGCAUUUUUGAGCUGCACAGUGACACAGAUUGAACUGAAGGAGAAAAGCCAGGCAGUCUGGGUUCCAGACCAGGACACCGCGAGGAGCUGACUUUUACAGGUAAAGGCACAGCCUUGAGGCCUUAAUAGCAGUGCCUCCCUGCCCAAUAUGACUUCCAAAACAGCGGAAGGCCAUAUGUGAUUCUCCAUGUUGAUUCUCCAGAGUAAUUAUGUCUUAUUGCUAAUAACCAUUCAUGUCUGUUACUGAGCUUUAAAAACAUUUUGUAUGGAAUGCUAUAUCCCUUACAAAAGAUAAAUUAGGAGGCAAUCAUUCAAAAUGAUUAAAAAAAAAACUUUGUGAA